rnacentral:SRP_RNA from 1 species
GCACUAGGUGGGGAGCCAGCGGUGCCCUUUACCUGCAAUCCGCUACAGCAGGGCUGAAAGUCCUUCUCGGGGCAGAUUAUGGUUGGCAGGGCUCGAUAAGGGGCGUUGAUGUUAAGGUCUCGUGCAACGGGUGGUCGUGAACCGUGUCAGGAUAGGGAUAUAGCAGCACUAAACGAUUUUCCCCGUGUGACUUGAGGGUGCUUUGACGGAGUUACCUGUCGGGUUAUCGC